CGCGGGGUAGAGGAGCAGGUUCCCUCGCGGGGCUCAUAAUCCCGAGCACGCCGGUUCGAAUCCGGCCCCCGCAA
rnacentral:tRNA from 1 species